rnacentral:rRNA from 1 species
AUUGAACGCUGGCGGCAGGCCUAACACAUGCAAGUCGAACGAGGGGCGGACGGGUGAGUAAUGUCUGGGAACCUGCCCGAUGGAGGGGGAUAACUACAGGAAACGGUAGCUAAUACCGCAUACCAUCGGAUGUGCCCAGAUGGGAUUAGCUAGUGGGGGGGGUAACGGCGCACCCAGGCGACGAUCCCUAGCUGGUCUGAGAGGAUGACCAGCCACACUGGAACUGAGAAACGGUCCAGACUCCUACGGGAGGCAGCAGUGGGGAAUAUUGCACAAUGGGCGCAAGCCUGAUGCAGCCAUGCCGCGUGUGUGAAGAAGGCCUUCGGGUUGUAAAGCACUUUCAGCGGGGAGGCGUUACCCGCAGAAGAAGCACCGGCUAACUCCGUGCCAGCAGCCGCGGUAAUUC